CAUGAGCCACGUCAGGUUCCAGUCCAGGCGGCCAGGGCGCGGUAGGCGUCGGCUAUUCUUGGUUCCCAUGAGUCUCGCUGGUUUCUAACCGUGACCGGAUAAAGCUCUGGAAAUCUUUUUCUGGGUAGAUGGGUUAUGGGCCGGACCGUACUAUAACCGUGAUACUGGGUUUGCCUGGGUUGGUUAUGGUCCGACAGCCGGUUUCGUCGAACCGUUGAACAGGGU
rnacentral:lncRNA from 1 species